AAAUAGCAGUAUUAGACCCAUUCUUUAACGGCAGAGUCAUUAGUGAGCUCAAAUUUAAAUGAGGGUUAUAAUUGAUCCAUUUUGAAUAACACAAGGACAUUAUUAGACCCAUUUUAUAACGGCAGGAUUAUUUUUGAACUCAAAUUUAAACGAGGUUAUAAUUGAUUAAUUUCGAAUAACACAACGCCAUUUUUGUGCCUUUUCCCUACAAUAUAUUCCAAUUUAAUUAUCCAGGUAUACUCACAAGCAUAGGUCUCCAAGCCCUCCUAAGCAACCGUCGCCGGAAAGUCGCCAUCAACGGCCGAAUUCUCCGAACUGCCGAUCCAAUACAACCACCGGCACUAGAAAUUUACGGUGAAAAUCCCUCUCUCGAAUUUGCCGGUGACGAAACGAACAAAUCCUUAAGCUUGUUUCUCACCACCACUUCCUUUUUAUCCGGUGAAUCUCCGUCGCCGAAAAUCUGAUCCGGCGACGCAUCGUCCUCGGACAAUAGCUGUCUAUCACUUCCUCCGUCGCUGCCAGCGUUGCCGCUGCGGGUGAGGAGCAUGCGAAGAGUUUUACGGCGGCCAUAAUUGGAAGGUGAAAAAAGGGGUUGAGGGUUAAGGAAAGAAGAAGUGGAGGAGGAAGGAAUAUGGAGGAGAUAGAAAGUGAGAUGUGAACUUUAUUAUUGGGUAGGGGACGGCCAUGGAUUAGAUUCUGUGUUUUCGGUCUAAAGAUUUACUAAAAAACCAUCCCUUAAUUCUUUCAUUCUUAUCAACCCUUAAUUCAUCAAAUGGAUACUCAAUUAGUUAGAGGAGAAUCAUCUACAUCUUCUCACUUCUCUUAUGAAGUAUUCCUGAGUUUUAGAGGUGAAGACACCCGGAAAACAUUCACUGGUCAUCUUUAUUCCAAAUUGGAUAAUGUUGGAGUCAAAACCUUCAUUGACGAUGAGGAAUUGAGAAAGGGUGACGUGAUUUCAAGAGAACUAGAGAAAGCAAUUGAAGAGUCAAGAAUUUCCAUUAUUGUUUUCUCAAGAAAUUAUGCUUCCUCUAGUUGGUGUUUAGAUGAACUAGUUAAAAUUCUCGAAUGCAAAGAGAAAUUAAAGCAGAUGGUUUUGCCUAUUUUCUAAUUUUGAUCCUUCUCAAGUGCGAAAGCAAACUGGGUUAUCCAAAUUUAACAAUUAUCCAAAUUUGGUGAUGCAUAUUUCUUAUUAAAUUCUUAUAACUAACAUGCUUAUGGGCAUCGACUAUAGUAUCUCCAUGAUUAAAGAUAUUUGACUUUACUUAACUAAAUGCGGAAAUCAAGCUUGCUCGAAGAAAUCAGGCAUGUGAACAUUUGGAAACUGUUGAAUAGGGUUCCGAAAAUGUAUAAGUACUGAAGGUAGAUCGUGGGACAUUAAAGGGAGUAAACUUGAGGACCAAAGCAUUUGAGCAAAUGAAAAACCUUAGGGUUCUUAUAAUGGAUGAGUUACAUAUUAGUGGAGAUUUUGGGUUGUUGUCCAAGAACCUCAGAUGGUUGUCUUGGAAAAAAUGUCCUUUAAAAUGUAUACCAUCAAAUUUUCCAGCUGAGAAUCUUGUAGUUCUAGAUAUGCGGGAGAGUGAUAUCCAAGAAUUUCAAUUGAAUUUGCAGUGUUGUAGAAGUUUGAAGAAGCUGAAUCUCUCUGAUUGAAAGCAACUCAGAUGCACUCCAAACUUCAAUGGUUUACGGAGUCUGAAGACGUUAUAGUAAAGAAGAUAGGGAUCCAUUUGUUAUAUUUAGACCAACAUGGUAAAGUUAUAUCUUUCCCGGGAGAUGUGGAUCAUUCUUACUCUGAGUACACAAAAAGAGUUUCACCAGGCUUAUUAAUUCCUCCUUAUAAAAGAGGAAAAUUGAUUGUUAGUGAAUUUUACUGGGCUGUUGUUGUUAUUGUAUAAAAGAGGAAAGUUCCGUCAAAUCUACAUCCUUGUUCGAGUAAUUCUUGUAGGAGAGUCAUAAUUUCUUUUCUUCCUCAGCUUUUGAAAAACCACUGCUUGAUAUGUUGUUGAAAUAAAAUAAAUUAAAUACCUU